rnacentral:tRNA from 1 species
UCCGAAUUGGUGUAGUGGCUAACAUUUGACGCUCUCAAGAAAUUGCGAUCCGUCAAGCCCGGGGUUCGAUUCCCCGAUUCGGAG